UACAGAGGGUGCGAGCGUUAAUCGGAAUUACUGGGCGUAAAGCGUGCGUAGACGGUUAUUUAAGUCGGGUGUGAAAGCCCCGGGCUCAACCUGGGAAUUGCAUUCGAGACUGAAUAGCUAGGGUACGGUAGAGGGAAGCGGAAUUUCCGGUGUAGCGGUGAAAUGCGUAGAUAUCGGAAGGAACAUCAGUGGCGAAAGCGGCUUCCUGGAC
rnacentral:rRNA from 1 species